UACGUAGGGUGCGAGCGUUGUCCGGAAUUACUGGGCGUAAAGAGCUCGUAGGCGGUUUGUCGCGUCUGCUGUGAAAUCCCGAGGCUCAACCUCGGGUCUGCAGUGGGUACGGGCAGACUGGAGUGCGGUAGGGGAGAAUGGAAUUCCUGGUGUAGCGGUGGAAUGCGCAGAUAUCAGGAGGAACACCGAUGGCGAAGGCAGUUCUCUGGGCCGUAACUGACGCUGAGGAGCGAAAGCGUGGGGAGCGAACAGG
rnacentral:rRNA from 1 species